rnacentral:misc_RNA from 1 species
UAUCGGAUCGUUUUAGAAACAUUCAGGGGCCAACAGUUUCAGGAUUGUUGAGCUCCAUUGGCGGGAUUUCGCCGUCUUCGUUUCUCUUUCUUCGCGGACGAACACGCGCCAGGGGCUGAGCGCUGUGCGAUGCAUCGACUUCACGUCAGGUGCGCGCCGGCAUGUCUCUCGUGUUAGGGGCUUGUAGCUCAGUUGGUUAGAGCGCGCGCUUGAUAAGCGUGAGGUCGGAAGUUCAAGUCUUCCCAGGCCCACCAUUUUGAUCGAGUGCGGAGCAUUCGUCUUCUGGUACGGGGCCAUAGCUCAGCUGGGAGAGCGCGUGCUUUGCAAGCAUGAGGUCGUCGGUUCGAUCCCGUCUGGCUCCACCAGAUGGAAUUGAAGCUCGAGGAUGCGCCUUGUGCAGCUAGCUCUGUUCAUUUCGUCCGCGAAACAUCACUUCGCACUCAUUGGUCCGGAUGGACGAUGACGUGCGUGUUUUCUGACAUCGUAAAGAGGAGAUCGAUCCGAGUUUGGAUCCAGCGAAGCAAUUCGCGGGUACCAUUCCUAAUCUCCAGAUCGUUUUCGGCGCUCGCGCAUCGCAGUUCAUCGCAAGAUGAGUGAGAUGAGCGAGUUGUAAAACGAUCUUUGUAGCGAAGCUUGACCGCCUCGCUAUCGGGCCGAUCUUACGAAGCAAGCUGGUCUUUCUAGUCAAUGUCCGGCUGCGCGAUAGCACUCAUCGAGGGUGCGCGCCUUAACCGGCAGUUGCGCAGACAACAUUCUGCCGAGUGUGUGGACAUUGAUAAUGAGAGCAAUCAAGUGCCUUAAGGGUGUUCGGUGGAUGCCUUGGCGCUGAGAGGCGAUGAAGGACGUGCUACGCUGCGAUAAGCCGUGGGGAGCUGCGAAGAAGCUUUG